AUGCAGUCGAGCGGGCAUUUUCGGAUGUCAGCGGCAGACGGGUGAGUAACACGUGGGAACGUACCCUUCGGUUCGGAACAACUCUGGGAAACUGGAGCUAAUACCGGAUACGCCCUUAUGGGGAAAGGUUUACUGCCGAAGGAUCGGCCCGCGUCUGAUUAGCUAGUUGGUGGGGUAACGGCCUACCAAGGCGACGAUCAGUAGCUGGUCUGAGAGGAUGAUCAGCCACACUGGGACUGAGACACGGCCCAGACUCCUACGGGAGGCAGCAGUGGGGAAUAUUGGACAAUGGGCGCAAGCCUGAUCCAGCCAUGCCGCGUGAGUGAUGAAGGCCUUAGGGUUGUAAAGCUCUUUUGUCCGGGACGAUAAUGACGGUACCGGAAGAAUAAGCCCCGGCUAACUUCGUGCCAGCAGCCGCGGUAAUACGAAGGGGGCUAGCGUUGCUCGGAAUCACUGGGCGUAAAGGGCGCGUAGGCGGCCAUUCAAGUCGGGGGUGAAAGCCUGUGGCUCAACCACAGAAUUGCCUUCNAUACUGUUUGGCUUGAGUAUGGUAGAGGUUGGUGGAACUGCNAGUGUANAGGUGAAAUUCNUAGAUAUUCGC
rnacentral:rRNA from 1 species